UCUUACGGCCUACAGCGCCUGGUUCACGCCCGAUCUCAUUUGAUCUCGGAAGAUAAGAUAGGUUGGGCCUGGUUAUUACUUUGAUGGGAGACCGCCUGGGAAUACCAGGUGCUGUAAAGC
ensembl:rRNA 5S_rRNA 5S ribosomal RNA